CCUACGGGAGGCAGCAGUGAGGAAUAUUGGUCAAUGGGCGCGAGCCUGAACCAGCCAAGUAGCGUGAAGGAUGACUGCCCUACGGGUUGUAAACUUCUUUUAUAAAGGAAUAAAGUGAGGCACGUGUGCCUUUUUGUAUGUACUUUAUGAAUAAGGAUCGGCUAACUCCGUGCCAGCAGCCGCGGUAAUCCGGAGGAUCCGAGCGUUAUCCGGAUUUAUUGGGUUUAAAGGGAGCGUAGAUGGGUUGUUAAGUCAGUUGUGAAAGUUUGCGGUUCAACCGGAAAAUUGCAAUUGAUACUGGCAGGCUGGAGUACAGUUGAGGUAGGCGGAAUUCGUGGUGUAGCGGUGAAAUGCUUAGAUAUCACGAAGAACUCCGAUUGCGAAGGCAGCUUACUAAACUGCCACUGACAUUGAUGCACGAAAGCGUGGGUAUCAAACAGGAUUAGAUACCCGAGUAGUC
rnacentral:rRNA from 1 species